rnacentral:rRNA from 1 species
AUACGGAGGGUGCAAGCGUUAUCCGGAAUCAUUGGGUUUAAAGGGUCCGUAGGCGGACUAAUAAGUCAGGGGUGAAAUCCCACAGCUUAACUGUGGAACUGCCUUUGAUACUGUUAGUCUUGAGUUAUAUGGAAGUAGGUAGAAUGUGUAGUGUAGCGGUGAAAUGCUUAGAGAUUACACAGAAUACCGAUUGCGAAGGCAGUCUACUACAUAUAUACUGACGCUAAUGGACGAAAGCGUGGGGAGCGAACAGGAUUAGAAACCCCAGUAGUCC